GUACUCGCUUCGGCUGUACAUAUACUAAAAUUGGAACGAUACUGAGAUUAACAUGGCCCCUGCGCAAGGAUGACACGCAAAAUCGUGAAGCCUUCCAUAUUUUU
rnacentral:snRNA from 1 species